rnacentral:rRNA from 1 species
AGAGUUUGAUCCUGGCUCAGGACGAACGCUGGCGGCGUGCCUAACACAUGCAAGUCGAGCGAGGGGAGUUCUUCGGAACGAACCUAGCGGCGGACGGGUGAGUAACACGUGGGUAACCUGCCUCAAAGAGGGGGAUAGCCUUCCGAAAGGAAGAUUAAUACCGCAUAAUCCAUUGUUUCCGCAUGGGGAUGAUGGUAAAGAUUUAUCGCUUUGAGAUGGACCCGCGGCGCAUUAGCUAGUUGGUGAGGUAAUGGCUCACCAAGGCGACGAUGCGUAGCCGACCUGAGAGGGUGAUCGACCACAUUGGAACUGAGACACGGUCCAGACUCCUACGGGAGGCAGCAGUGGGGAAUAUUGCACAAUGGGCGCAAGCCUGAUGCAGCAACGCCGCGUGAGUGAUGAAGGUCUUCGGAUUGUAAAGCUCUGUCUUUUGGGACGAUAAUGACGGUACCAAAGGAGGAAGCCACGGCUAACUACGUGCCAGCAGCCGCGGUAAUACGUAGGUGGCAAGCGUUGUCCGGAUUUACUGGGCGUAAAGGGUGCGUAGGUGGAUAUUUAAGUCAGAUGUGAAACCCCUGGGCUCAACUCAGGGACUGCAUUUGAAACUGGAUAUCUGGAGUGCAGGAGAGGUAAGUGGAAUUCCUAGUGUAGCGGUGGAAUGCGUAGAGAUUAGGAAGAACACCAGUGGCGAAGGCGACUUACUGGACUGUAACUGACACUGAGGCACGAAAGCGUGGGUAGCAAACAGGAUUAGAUACCCUGGUAGUCCACGCCGUAAACGAUGAGUACUAGGUGUAGGGGGUAUCGACUCCCUCUGUGCCGCAGUUAACACAAUAAGUACUCCGCCUGGGAAGUACGAUCGCAAGAUUAAAACUCAAAUGAAUUGACGG